rnacentral:lncRNA from 1 species
UCGAUGCAUACAAGGCUUAUGAGAGUAAUAGUCCAUAUUUAUAUAGUUGACAAUUUAAGUCAACUUUUCCAUCCAGUCCAAAGUGUGUGCGUAAAGCAGCAGGAGAAGGAUAAACGGACCCGCCAAGGAUCUACGAAGAAGGUCCAGUUAAGUGGUUCUUUUUCUGUGGAAGGAUGUCAGCUCUCUGCGCCUGGUCAUCCCUGAGGACGCUUGAUGUCAUCUUGUCUACCUGAUCAUUACGCUACCUGCUCUCUUCUACAAUGCUGCCCUCUCGCUGCUCCACCACUUGAAAUGCUUGGCUGGCCUCUUCUCUGAAGCCAUCAUGAAAUUGUGUGCUAAAACGCUGCAGACACUGUUCCUCCUCUCUCUUUUUGCUCCAGCCAUGUGUGCACAGGAACCAGAAAAAGAUUCCUGCAUGCAGAGAAAUGCUGCUUCAGUGUAAAACCACACAAAACACCCGCCAAACAUUUUUUUUAAAUUAUGAUUUUGAUGCUUGUAGAGACUUUUUAACAAUGCACCAACAAUUCAUGACCUGAUAAUGAUAACAAUGACAGAGCAGAACAGAUACAAUGUAUUUUUAGAUAAGAAAAUACAUGAUUAGAAAUUGAGCAAAGAGCAGGAAAAAUAUCAACAAUAAAAGAAUAUGUAAAAGAAAACAAAACAAAAAGUAAAAAUAAAGAUAGGAGCAACAGAACAGAGCAAUACGAGAACAGUCAUGUGCCCAUGAUUAACUCACUCUUUGUUAUUCUGUUGUAUUUUAUUAUAAUUUAGGUCAUUUUGUUGUGAUUGUGUAUGCAUUUUGCACAGUUUUUUAUAUUAUGUUUGUACUAUAUGUACUUUUAAAGUAAGUACUUUAAAAGCCCAGCACUGUGAAUUAGCCAAGACUAUAAAUACUCCAGUGUGUGGCAAUGAACUGCAGUACAUAUUUGCCCCUAUACAAACAAACAUUAAAAUAAAAAUAUAAAAAGAAUAGUAAAGCAAUGAAAAAAAAAUUGCGACAAAAUAGUAUAAAAUGAAGAAAAAUACAACAUGUAACAUACUGCAAAGUAAAUUAUAGGCAGUAAGAAGCUAUUGCGCAAAAGAAGUGCAUUAUAAACAAGUAAAAACUAUUGUACAUUGGAACAGAAUGAUGGAAUAAUUAAAUGGAAUAAAAUGAUUAGGUCAUUUUACUUAGAUUAUUAUCUACGAUUAUUUUCUGCUAGUCAUAUUUUACUGAUAUCAGUGGUAUUUAUAUUUAUGUUUUUUAGUUAAAUUAGGAGGCAUUCAAAAAUACAUAUUUAUUUGGGACUAUAUACACCCAUAGUAUGUCACAAUUUGUAAAAAA